CCGUGACUCACCGCGCCUCCCUCUACGCUCAUCCCUCCACUCCCUCCCUGACCCCCGCCGGCCGGGGGCGCCCGGCACACGCCGCAGCUCCCGCAGCCUCCCCGAGGGGGGAGCCCGAGGAGGAAGGCGACAAAUGUCACCUGCUCCGGCCACGCGAGGAACUUCUGAAAAGUUCUCAGGCAACUGGGUCAAAAGGAAACUCACCCGCGGACGCACGCCCCCGUCGCCUCGCCGCUCGCGCGCAAGCCCGGCUCUGUCCCCACUCGCGCCGAGCUCGGGGAGCCGUGACUUCUCUCGGGGUUACCGCGGCGGGCGGGGGAGGGGAGCAGAAAACCUGCGACUCCCGCCGGCCGGGCCCCCGGCCCCCGACUCCGGCCGCGGCACGCCGUCAGAGCCGGGCAGCUCCAGCCCCCGCGCCCGCUCAGGGUGCCGGGGAGUGAACGGCAGGAGGCAGGAGCGGCAGUGCCACUCGCGCUGAAUGCCCCCUCCCCAAAGUCCCGUCCUGCCGGGCCCGAGGCCCCUCGGCGCUCACCUGCAAUCCGGACGCUCGCGGAGGACAACGACGCGACCCGCGUCCCGGCCGGGGACGCCCCCUGCGCCGCGACUCUGUGCGCUCGGCCCGGCAGCCGUCGGUCCAGCCGCCCCUCGCUCUGCGCGUCCGGCAGCGGCGGCGGCGGCGGGAGACUGCCUGCGCCCAGCCCCGCCCGCCGCUCCGCCCUCCUCGUCAGUGGAAAACUCCGGGGCUCACUGCGCUGACGCACGCCGGGCCUCCAGCCAGGCCGCCCGGCAGCCCCGCCCCGGAGGCGCCGCCUCCUCCCCCGCCUGGAGCCUGGCGCAGCGGCCUGGGGGCCUCCCUGCGGACUGUGACCCGGCGACUGCGCCUCCGCCGCUCUCCGCCCCCAGCCCUCUCCCGCCAGCGCCCUCCCCGCCCCGCUUCCAGCACGGUCCCUAAAGGCGCGGACGACUCAAGCCGGCAGAGCCGAGCGUAGAGAUCCCCACCUCGCCCCACCGCCCCAGUUUACAGAUGGGUAGACCGAGGCCGGGAGCACCUCGUAACUCCGCAAGGCCACGGGCUAGACAGUGGCAGAGCCGACGUCUCCUGUACGCUCUCCACCCCCACCCCUCUAGAGGGAGUUUAUUUUAUUCCAAUCUAAAAGUUCCCCCCUCCGCCCCCAACCUACCACCCACCCCCAGAUCCGCCGGAAAAGUAAACUGUGGCUGGAGAGGAAUCUGGGGUGUGUGGGGAGCGGGGAGGCAGGGAGCGGGAAGGAUGGAUGUAAUCAGUGGGCCUGAACUUCAUUCCUGCCCACGGGCCAAGAGACCCUUCCCUGCAGAAGUUCCAAACUAGGGGUUCUUAGAACUAGCUUCCCCACUCCCACCUCAACCUUCCCUUAAAAAAAUAAAAAGGCUGGUUUCUUCCGGGCCAGAUCUUGGCCACUUAAAAUGGUCCACUGCCUUCUCUGCUCCCGCCAAGGCCUUUCCUGACUCGGGGCCAACCCUCCCGGUACGACAUGCCCCGGCAACCAAGUCCUGGCCUGGGAGCCCACCCUCAGCCCCACUUCCCAACCGCAGGUACGAGUCUACUCAUCACCUCGAGCGUUUCCACCCUCACGCUUUUACUGCAGCCGGUCUUCUCGACUGGAAUGCUCUCCUGCCCUCUCUCUGCUUACCAGAAUCCCAAUGCCUUUAAGGGCUCAGCUUGCACUGCCUCCUCCAGGGAGCCUUCGUGGGAGCCUGACCCUCCCCCUCCCAGUCCUGCUCCCGCUGCAUUCUGGGUUCUUCUGACUGUCCUAGAUGAAUGCUGUCAGCCACUAGCCC
ensembl:lncRNA novel transcript, antisense CSRNP1